AACCUAGAGACUCAUGCGAAAAUGCCUUUAGCCUAGAGAGCCUUCUUAAUAAAUGAUGGUAUAUCUCUCUCUUCCCCACCACUUUUCUGAGGUUCCCUCCUUUCCCUAUUUCUGUCAAGAAAGCUCUCCAUAAACAACAAAAAGGAAAAAAAAAAAAAAAACUUUCAAAACAUUAUUUGGAAGGUGGAGAUCAAUUCUAUCCGAAUAAUUUGUGCAUUAAUCAACCGUUCAAAUCAGAAAGCGUAUCUUCAAGAGGGCUUUCCCGUUUGGGAAUCGUAACAGUCACUUCUAGAGGUGAAAAUGGCAAAAAUUCAUGAAACGUGAAUAAGAAAGCUUGAGCCUUGAGCAAAGGUCGAGCUAGCGUGCCCAUAAGAGGUUUAAUCUCCUUUACUAACACGAGGCUUGGAAAAGAAACUUACGAGUUUUUCGAGCUAGCUGUGAUGACCUUCCAAGUCAUCUUGCCACAUAAGCACAUAUUUUAGACAUGUGGAUGCUUACAUGGCAAAGAUGCUAGCAUUUGUGGGAAGAUUCUAGAGCCAUUGAGAGUUUUCUUGGAAAGACUCUAGAUUCUUGUAAAAUAUCUAAGAAGACUUUCUUGAGAAGCCUUAGAAUAUUCUAGGCAUGUAGAGAAUUAUAGAGACGGGACCUACUUGUAAAUAUUGAGGGACUUGUGUAACAAUUACUCCCUCUAGGGGUGUAUAUGGACCGGGUUGGUUCGGUUUUUUUAAACAUCAAAUCAAACCAAUUGCAUCGGGUUUUUUAAUUUAUACACCAAACCAAACCAAUAAAAUUUCGGUUUUUCAACCUCGGAUUUUCUCGGGU